AAACUCUCUGUACGUUAUAUUUUUCUUUUCUCUCUGACAAAUUAACCAAAGAUUGUAGCUUCAUAGCAAAGGAGGAAAAGAGCUCAAUUGAUCAUUACUAUGAGUUUGUGUGUUAACCUUUCUUAGGAAAGCAGGAAACUAUCACCAAUUUAUGGCAUCUUCUAUUUGUCGUCUUCAUGUAAUUUUAUUGCUCCCACAGUUUCUUAGUUGCAACUAACUUUGUGUUGCCUUCACACUUAUGUAGCCUACACUAUCACAAUGGAACGGAGGCUUAACAUCGACGCAAUCACACCAUAGGUUCCAGAAUGGACUUGCAAAGUUUUGGUCGUCGAUAAGUUUAGCCCUCGAGAGAGCAAAACUCAGACUGUUCAUUUCCAAACAAUAAUUGUACAAGAUGAAAACGAAGAACAUGUUGCAAUAGUUCCGUACGGUGAUGACAUUACCAGGUGUCAAAAAUUAUUCACCCCUUUCGGGACAUAUCUGAUUUCGGGUACUAAUGUUAGGGACCCGCGAGUGUACUCAGUACGAACAGAUACGUUUGAGUGGGUUGCCGAUAGGUACAAAAUUGUAGCAGCAGUUACAAAUCGUGGAGUCAAUGAGGCACCAUUACCUCCUCCAAGAAAGUUGAAUAUACUUCCUUUUCCGGAUCAUGAACUUCAACUUCCAGGCGCUGAAUUUUGAUUUGCUAGCAAUAGUAGCAAAUUGCAGUGCCAUGUAGUAUACUGCUGAUCAAACUAAGAGGUACCGGGAGGCCACUGUUAUGGACAACAAGUAAGUCAUUUAGUUUCAAUCAAAAUGACAAUAAUAACAUUUACGAGAUAUAUCUUUUUCACUUAGGCCAAACUUGUUCUACAUUCCUUGUAUCUCACUUUCACAUUUUUUACAACAUUUGCUUGGUAAUAACCUAUCCAACGCUCAUGUUAUUUAACAAGAAGCUGGGACGAUCUAGCGGAGAAUGAAGGAGCUGCACUAUUAUGACAGGUACACGAGCAUCCUGUUAUUCUUGUGCUGGGAAAAAGGAGAACAUAUAAGUAGUUUUGAUGAUUGAUAAAUUGAACCUGGUUCACUACUUGUUAUCUAUGUGUACUCUAUCAGGUGAACCAGGUCCCCAGAUGUGAAUGCGGACAUCAUGGGAGAUUGCAGCAAAGAAGGAAACUAAUAAAUUGCAGAAAUAGCGAAAAAAGAAAUAGCUGAAAUAAAGGAGCAAAGAAGAAAAGAAAUAAAAAGUACAGUUAAAGUCCAAAGAGGAGUUAAAAUGAUAUGAACUCAUUGUAUGUUCAUCGAGUUCUUUGGUUGUUGAUUUUCAAUGAUGCCAAAAGGGGAAGUUAUAUGAUGUGGGUUUGGGACAUAUUGUGCAUAGUUUGGCAUCAUCAAAAACGGGGAAAUUGUUGGGGAAUAAGAGAACAUGAUGUUUGUAGUUUUGAUGAUUGACAAAGGGUUUGGGACAUAUUGUGCAUAGUUUAUCAUUAUCAAAAAAGGGAAAAUUGUUGGGGAAUAAGAGAACAUGAUGUUUUAGUUUUGAUGAUUGACAAAGUAUUUUGUUUGACAAAUUAAACUAUGAUGCAUUAUAUAUCAUCAUCAAAAAGGGGGGGAAAUUGCUGGGAAAAAGGAGAACAUAUAAGUAGUUUUGAUUGAUUAAUUGAACUUGGUUCAAUACUUGCUAUCUAUGCGUACUCUAUCAGAUGAACCAGGUCCAGGUCCCCAGACGUGAAUGCGGACAUCAUGGGAGAUUGCGGCAAAGAAGGAAACUAAUAAAUUGCAGAAAUAAAGGAGCGAAAAAAGAAAUAGCUAAAGUAAAGGAGCAAAGAAGGAAAGAAAUAAAGAGUACAGUUAAAGUCCAAAGAGGAGUCAAAGUUUCCUUAUAGAAUGAAACUCCUUUUAACAAAGGAAAUCAGAAAUUUCCUUAUUAGAGGACAAGUCCAAAGAGGAGUCAAAGUUUUCUUAUAGAAUGAAAGUCCUUUUAAGGAAGUAAAUCAGAAAUUUCCUUAUAAGAGGACAAGUCCUAUUCGAAGUAAAAGUCCUAAUCCGUGAUAUACUAAGGCAUGACAAAUCUCCAGUAUAUAUAUGGCAUGAAAGAACAUUGAGAACGACACCUAUUUCAUACUCACGAAAUUCAUCAUCUUGAGAGCAAUAGCCAUUGGAGCAAAACUGCAAGAGUUCGUCACAGCAACACUGGAACCUGGUUCACGAGUUGUGUUCGAGUCUGAAUUAUUGAGUAUUAAAGUUUGAUCAAUUAAAGACUAGGGUUAUUAGUCUUUAUUGAGUUUGUAGUAGGAUUAUUAUUGAGUUAUAAUAAUUCCUAGAUUGAAGAGAGUAAUUGUGUGGGUAAGGUUUGUAACAAGAAGCGAAUUUGACUUCUUGGAGAGAAGUUAGAACAGUUUGAGUGAACUGUUGAGUUGAGGUACUAGAGUUAGUCUCUUAGAUUAUAGAGUUGGAAUCUGAAAUCACUCUUUGAAGUUAGUGGAGGUUGCUGGAAAUCCUACACGCUGUAGGUUGUGGUUUUUUAUUUCCUUGAGCAAGGAAGUUUUUCACGAAAAAUUAAGUGUUAUUUACUUUCUGUUCUAAUACGACUCUAGGAAACAGGUUCCUAGAUAUAACUGUUGGUGCACAGUUUUCUUUCAUCUUGCAAAACGGGUAGCUGUUACUGAUUAUCGUCGUGUUUUAAUCUUGACAACAAGAUACAAUUCAACAAUUUUAAUCAACCCUCAAUACGUGCAAGCUACUGAACUAAUGAACUAGUAUGACUUAAGUUUCCUCUCAUUCUGAUAUGCCAUCCUUGGUUGACAGCUUUCUAUAUGGAAAAAAGGGUCAUAUUUACUGUCACAUUUUUCAGGCCCAAAGAGAAUGAAUGAAUGCUUCUAGCUUACACUUUAAGAAGUUCAUCUGAGCCAUAUUCGUCCCUCAAUCUUGCAUCUGUUGAAGAUGAGACAGUAUCUAUUUCAGACAUUCCUUCAUUGCCGGCUAUAGUACAAACUUUCCCCGUUGAAGGUCAAAUAUCAUUGCCCAAUUACCCUCAGUCAUUUUACAUGUUUGCAUGCUCAAAUUGCAAUCAUUUUGUGCGUUCUAAAGCCCGGAGAAAAGUUCAAUGUCUGAACUGUGACCUACCCAGAAUGUUAGUUCCAAGGUAUCACUUUGAGCUUGAGAUAGCAGACAACACUGGUACACUGACAGCAAUGGUCUCGGAAACAUUAGCUGAAAAAAUAUUAUUCAUGACAGCCAAACAAGUAUAGGAAACUGUCGCUGCCCAGAAUCAAUCAUUGCUUGUUGCCGCUAUCAAUCGUCAGUUUGGCCAUAAGCUUUUCAGCCUUCAACUACUAAAGCCGUUGUUCAGAUUUCCCAAUCAAAAAAUGGUUACACUGGCUGUCUCAUCCUACGCUGAAAAACAACCCCCAACAUUUACGCUUCCGAGCGAAGGAACUAAGAAGUAGCAGCAGAAGCAAUGCUCAUGUACAACCAGAUUUUGAUCGACGAUACUAACUUUAAAAAACCAGCCACCUCAACAAAGUUUCCUUUUUAGAGGGGCAUACUGACAUCCCACAUCAACUACAGCUCUUGACAACCAAAUCAUUAUGUUUACAAUUUUUGUGUACAUAUAACCCGUGGCGGAGCUACAUGGGAGUGAGGGGUUCACCCGAACCCUUUCAAUCGAAAAGUUACGUUGUAUAUAGAAGGCUAAAUUUGAAUUUUAUGGCUAUAUACCAUUUAUUGAACCCCUUAGAACAAUUAAAAAGAGUGGCUCAAUGGGCA